rnacentral:rRNA from 1 species
GACAUGUACGGAACUCGCCAGAGAUGGCUUGGUGCUCGAAAGAGAACCGUAACACAGGUGCUGCAUGGCUGUCGUCAGCUCGUGUCGUGAGAUGUUGGGUUAAGUCCCGCAACGAGCGCAACCCUUGUCAUUAGUUGCUACAUUUAGUUGGGCACUCUAAUGAGACUGCCGGUGACAAGCCGGAGGAAGGUGGGGAUGACGUCAAGUCCUCAUGGCCCUUAUAGGUGGGGCUACACACGUCAUACAAUGGCUGGUACAAAGGGUUGCCAACCCGCGAGGGGGAGCCAAUCCCAUAAAGCCAGUCGUAGUCCGGAUCGCAGUCUGCAACUCGACUGCGUGAAGUCGGAAUCGCUAGUAAUCGUGGAUCAGCAUGUCACGGUGAAUACGUUCCCGGGUCUU